AACGAACGCUGGCGGCAGGCUUAACACAUGCAAGUCGAACGCCCCCUUCGGGGGGAGUGGCAGACGGGUGAGUAACGCGUGGGAACGUACCCUUCGGUUCGGAAUAACCCGGGGAAACUCGGGCUAAUACCGGAUACGUCCGCAAGGAGAAAGAUUUAUCGCCGAGGGAUCGGCCCGCGUCCGAUUAGCUAGUUGGUGAGGUAAUGGCUCACCAAGGCGACGAUCGGUAGCUGGUCUGAGAGGAUGAUCAGCCACACUGGGACUGAGACACGGCCCAGACUCCUACGGGAGGCAGCAGUGGGGAAUAUUGGACAAUGGGCGAAAGCCUGAUCCAGCCAUGCCGCGUGAGUGAAGAAGGCCUUAGGGUUGUAAAGCUCUUUCAGCGGGGAAGAUAAUGACGGUACCCGCAGAAGAAGCCCCGGCUAACUUCGUGCCAGCAGCCGCGGUAAUACGAAGGGGGCGUAGCGUUGUUCGGAAUUACUGGGCGUAAAGCGCGCGUAGGCGGGUUGUUAAGUCAGGGGUGAAAUGCCGA
rnacentral:rRNA from 1 species